CACGUGUACAUACAGAUCACGUUCAUUCACUGCACAUGACAAAAAGAAACAAAUAAAACAAUAACAAUAUAUAUCUAAAGACCAUUUUAACCUAUCCAGCUUAAAACAAGACCUAACAAAGUAGCUCUUCUACCUUUCACAUGAAUACUAACUUUUUCUUUACUUUCACUUUCACACCUAAAUCUUAAUCGCCGCACCUAACAAAAAUCUGGCUCUCUCUCUAUCUGAACAUCGCAUCUUCUAUUUCCUCUCCUACUGUCUGUCCCUUUGAUACUGAAGAAAGUUGCAUCUUCUCUCCUCGCAUUGUUGUUCUGCCGAAGUGUCAUCCUUCCUCAUCAUCCUCCUUCAUAGAUCUGCACUCCCUCUUUGUGUGAUCCGAGUGGAUUUUUUUUAGCACCAUUUUUUUUUCUUUUGUUGUUGAUCUAUGUCGUAUAUUGCAGAUCUAGGUUGUACUUUGUUUGCUGUAAUUUGUUUUGUUUUAUUUUCUUGUUGAUCUUUUAUGUUGUGGCUUGCCGUGGGUACGGUCUAUAGGGUGGAUUUUUGGUUGGUUUUUUUUUUGUAGUUUAUUGUUUCUUUACCUUAUGAUCUCAAACCGCACCACCCUCCCUCUCCCUAUCAAACUUCAUACACUUGAAGAGACCAUGUUUAGAUCUACGUUCAUAGGAUCUUUAUGUUUUUGAUUCACAUUUAUUCUAUUUUUCUUUCGGUUGAAAUUUAUUCUUGCUUUUCUAUUUCUAUUGUUUUCUGUUUUGUAGUAAAUUUUUUUUAUUCUUUUUCAUCGGUUGAUAUUUAUUCUUGUCUGAUCAGAUCCACCACCUACGGCCCCUCGUCGUCUCCCACAAGCCCUCACCCUCAUAGCUUCUGAAGGUACAUCUCGUUGCUUGUCUCCCUCUCUCCUAAACUGCGAGCAAAUCGAAAGAUUUCUUUACUGAAGUUAUGAAAAUUAAAAGAUUUUAUUGGGUUUUUUUUU